rnacentral:rRNA from 1 species
CCGGCGAGGGGAGUGAAAAAGAACCUGAAACCGUGUACGUACAAGCAGUGGGAGCACGCUUAGGCGUGUGACUGCGUACCUUUUGUAUAAUGGGUCAGCGACUUAUAUUCUGUAGCAAGGUUAACCGAAUAGGGGAGCCGAAGGGAAACCGAGUCUUAACUGGGCGUUAAGUUGCAGGGUAUAGACCCGAAACCCGGUGAUCUAGCCAUGGGCAGGUUGAAGGUUGGGUAACACUAACUGGAGGACCGAACCGACUAAUGUUGAAAAAUUAGCGGAUGACUUGUGGCUGGGGGUGAAAGGCCAAUCAAACCGGGAGAUAGCUGGUUCUCCCCGAAAGCUAUUUAGGUAGCGCCUCGUGAAUUCAUCUCCGGGGGUAGAGCACUGUUUCGGCAAGGGGGUCAUCCCGACUUACCAACCCGAUGCAAACUGCGAAUACCGGAGAAUGUUAUCACGGGAGACACACGGCGGGUGCUAACGUCCGUCGUGAAGAGGGAAACAACCCAGACCGCCAGCUAAGGUCCCAAAGUCAUGGUUAAGUGGGAAACGAUGUGGGAAGGCCCAGACAGCCAGGAUGUUGGCUUAGAAGCAGCCAUCAUUUAAAGAAAGCGUAAUAGCUCACUGGUCGAGUCGGCCUGCGCGGAAGAUGUAACGGGGCUAAACCAUGCACCGAAGCUGCGGCAGCGACGCUUAUGCGUUGUUGGGUAGGGGAGCGUUCUGUAAGCCUGUGAAGGUGUACUGUGAGGUAUGCUGGAGGUAUCAGAAGUGCGAAUGCUGACAUAAGUAACGAUAAAGCGGGUGAAAAGCCCGCUCGCCGGAAGACCAAGGGUUCCUGUCCAACGUUAAUCGGGGCAGGGUGAGUCGACCCCUAAGGCGAGGCCGAAAGGCGUAGUCGAUGGGAAACAGGUUAAUAUUCCUGUACUUGGUGUUACUGCGAAGGGGGGACGGAGAAGGCUAUGUUGGCCGGGCGACGGUUGUCCCGGUUUAAGCGUGUAGGCUGGUUUUCCAGGCAAAUCCGGAAAAUCAAGGCCGAGGCGUGAUGACGAGGCACUACGGUGCUGAAGCAACAAAUGCCCUGCUUCCAGGAAAAGCCUCUAAGCAUCAGGUAACAUCAAAUCGUACCCCAAACCGACACAGGUGGUCAGGUAGAGAAUACCAAGGCGCUUGAGAGAACUCGGGUGAAGGAACUAGGCAAAAUGGUGCCGUAACUUCGGGAGAAGGCACGCUGAUACGUAGGUGAAGCGACUUGCUCGUGGAGCUGAAAUCAGUCGAAGAUACCAGCUGGCUGCAACUGUUUAUUAAAAACACAGCACUGUGCAAACACGAAAGUGGACGUAUACGGUGUGACGCCUGCCCGGUGCCGGAAGGUUAAUUGAUGGGGUUAGCGCAAGCGAAGCUCUUGAUCGAAGCCCCGGUAAACGGCGGCCGUAACUAUAACGGUCCUAAGGUAGCGAAAUUCCUUGUCGGGUAAGUUCCGACCUGCACGAAUGGCGUAAUGAUGGCCAGGCUGUCUCCACCCGAGACUCAGUGAAAUUGAACUCGCUGUGAAGAUGCAGUGUACCCGCGGCAAGACGGAAAGACCCCGUGAACCUUUACUAUAGCUUGACACUGAACAUUGAGCCUUGAUGUGUAGGAUAGGUGGGAGGCUUUGAAGUGUGGACGCCAGUCUGCAUGGAGCCGACCUUGAAAUACCACCCUUUAAUGUUUGAUGUUCUAACGUGGACCCGUGAUCCGGGUUGCGGACAGUGUCUGGUGGGUAGUUUGACUGGGGCGGUCUCCUCCUAAAGAGUAACGGAGGAGCACGAAGGUUGGCUAAUCCUGGUCGGACAUCAGGAGGUUAGUGCAAUGGCAUAAGCCAGCUUGACUGCGAGCGUGACGGCGCGAGCAGGUGCGAAAGCAGGUCAUAGUGAUCCGGUGGUUCUGAAUGGAAGGGCCAUCGCUCAACGGAUAAAAGGUACUCCGGGGAUAACAGGCUGAUACCGCCCAAGAGUUCAUAUCGACGGCGGUGUUUGGCACCUCGAUGUCGGCUCAUCACAUCCUGGGGCUGAAGUAGGUCCCAAGGGUAUGGCUGUUCGCCAUUUAAAGUGGUACGCGAGCUGGGUUUAGAACGUCGUGAG